AGAGUUUGAUCCUGGCUCAGGACGAACGCUGGCGGCGUGCCUAACACAUGCAAGUCUGGGAGACCCGGGUAGCAAUAUUCGGGAAAACCGGCGCAAGGGUGAGUAACACGUGGGCAAUUUUCCUUUAGGACGGGAAUAACUCAGAGAAAUCUGGGCUAAUACCCGAUGAUGCAGCGGCACCGCAUGGUGAUGUUGUUAAAAGCCCCAAAAGGGUGCCUAAAGAUAAGCCUGCGUCCCAUCAGGUAGUUGGUAGGGUUACGGCCUACCAAGCCUACGACGGGUAGCUGGUCUGAGAGGAUGGUCAGCCACACUGGAACUGAGACACGGUCCAGACUCCUACGGGAGGCAGCAGUGAGGAAUAUUGCGCAAUGUCCGAAAGGGUGACGCAGCGACGCCGCGUGGAGGAUGAAGGCCCUAUGGGUCGUAAACUCCUGUUGGGGAAGACGAAUGAUCAGCUAUACGCUGAUUUGACUGUAUUCCUCGAGGAAGCACCGGCUAACUACGUGCCAGCAGCCGCGGUAAUACGUAGGGGGCAAGCGUUGUCCGGAUUUACUGGGUGUAAAGGGUGCUCAGGCGGAUCUGUAAGUCAGAGGUGAAAUCCUGGAGCUUAACUCCAGAACUGCCUUUGAUACUGCAGGCCUAGAGUGCGGGAGAGGAUGAUGGAAUAUCUGGUGUAGCAGUGAAAUGCGUAGAUAUCAGAUAGAACACCAAUGGCGAAGGCAGUCAUCUGGCCCGUUACUGACGCUAAAGCACGAAAGUGUGGGGAGCAAACAGGAUUAGAUACCCUGGUAGUCCACACCCUAAACGAUGAGUACUAGACGUUGGGUCUUUUAAGAUUCAGUGUCUGAGCUAACGCAUUAAGUACUCCACCUGGGAAGUACGAUCGCAAGGUUGAAACUCAAAGGAAUUGACGGGGGCCCGCACAAGCAGUGGAGCAUGUGGUUUAAUUCGAUGCAACGCGAAGAACCUUACCUAGGCUUGAAAAGCAAAUGAAAGACAGAUGAAAGUUUGUCUGUGCAGCAAUGCACAUUUGUACAGGUGCUGCAUGGCUGUCGUCAGCUCGUGCCGUGAGGUGUUGGGUUAAGUCCCGCAACGAGCGCAACCCUUGUCCUUAUUUGCCACCAGGUAAUGCUGAGCACUCUAAGGAGACUGCCUACGCAAGUAGUGAGGAAGGUGGGGACGACGUCAAGUCCGCAUGGCCCUUACGCCUAGGGCAACGCACGUGCUACAAUGGCCAUUACAAAGGGCAGCGAUACCGCGAGGUGGAGCCAAUCCCAAAAAAAUGGUCUCAGUUCGGAUCGGAGUCUGCAACUCGACUCCGUGAAGCUGGAAUUGCUAGUAAUCGCGCAUCAGCACGGCGCGGUGAAUACGUUCCCGGGCCUUGUACACACCGCCCGUCAAGCCAUGGAAGUUGGGGGUACCCGAAGUCACCUUAAACAAGUGCCUAAGGUAAAACCAAUGACUGGGGCUAAGUCGUAACAAGGUA
rnacentral:rRNA from 1 species